UACGUACCGUCCAAACGUUAUUCGGAUUACUGGGCUUAAAGGGUGCGUAGGCGGCUCAGAAAGUAGGGUGUGAAAGCCCUCGGCUCAACCGAGGAAUCGCGCCCUAAACUACUGGGCUUGAGGAACGCAGAGGUAAGCGGAACUUAGGGUGGAGCGGUGAAAUGCGUUGAUAUCCUAAGGAACACCAGGAGCGAAAGCGGCU
rnacentral:rRNA from 1 species